ACACCGAAAUAUUAAAGAAAUAUUCAGAGAGCGAGACAACAUUGGUUGUGAUGGCUGAACGUUUUUUCCUGCUACUAGUCACCCGUGAGGCACGGAGCAGCCGCGUGAGCACAUUUUGACCAGAGGUCAGGUCCUUUUAGCGGGAACCUAAACUUCCUGGAGCUGCAUUCGAAUAUCGUUGGAUGUUGAUGCUGGAACUGGCGUGAACAGGAAGUUGGGGGAGGCACUCAAUGCUCGCGUGAUGUGGCCGAGGGACUUGAGGAGAAUUAUACACUGACAGCAGUGGAGAUGAGAGCGCACUUGAAAUUAUCAGGCGGAACCCACCGACUAGCCCGUCUCGAUCACGCCCACAUGGGCGGGACCAGCCAGGUGCUCCGUAGAACGCUUAAUGACGGAAUGGAUUUAAGCACUGAGCUCCAUCGGGACAUUGCGAAACCCGUUCCCGAACCUGAACCUCCUGCCCCGCUGAGACCGGCUUCUCCUGGUAAAGACUCCAACAGCAAGACUGUGGUACAGCAGCCUGUGUCUGACACUGUGUCUGACACAGACUCUGUGAGCCUGCAGUGUACGAUAGAGACUGGGAGCUGUGCAGGAGAACACAGUGUUUACUGGUUCAGACAUGGAUCAGGAGAAUCCCUUCCUGGAGUCAUUUACAGCCACGGAAACAGGAGUGAUGAGUGUGAGAAGAGCCCUGAGGCUGGAUCUCCUACACGGAGCUGCGUCUACAGCCUCCCCAAGGGGAACCUCAGCCUCUCCGAUGCUGGGACUUACUACUGCGCCGUGGCCAUGUGUGGGGAGAUGCUGUUUGGCAAUGGGACCAAGCUGGAUAUAGAUGGUAACACCCAGUGAGGGGAGAUGCUGUUUGGGAACGGCACACAGCUGGAUAUAGAUGGUAACACCCAGUGAGGGGAGAUGCUGUUUGGGAACGGCACACAGCUGGAUAUAGAUGGUAACACCCAGCGUGGGGAGAUGCUGUUUGGGAACGGAACACAGCUGGAUAUAGAUGGUAACACCCAGUGAGGGGAGAUGCUGUUUGGGAACGGCACAUAGCUGGAUAUAGAUGGUAACACCCAGUGUGGGGAGAUGCUGUUUGGGAACGGCACACAGCUGGAUAUAGAUGGUAACACCCAGCGUGGGGAGAUGCUGUUUGGGAACGGCACACAGCUGGAUAUAGAUGGUAACACCCAGCGUGGGGAGAUGCUGUUUGGGAACGGCACACAGCUGGAUAUAGAUGGUAACACCCAGCGUGGGGAGAUGCUG